UUGAAAGUUGCUAGCUUCUGAACCCAGAUA
rnacentral:piRNA from 1 species